UAUUUACUUUUAUUUUAUUUUAUACAUUUAAAUACUUUUAACUAAGCCAAAUGAAUAGUCAUCCUUUCAUAUAUGAUAUGAUCUUCUCCUCUUCCCCUUCAUUCCUUAAAACAUGGCCACAUUCAUCUUAGAAAAGAGAUUUAAUUCUCAAUUGUGUCUCUUGAACUCAAAAGUCAUAAAAGACUUUUCAUGUCUUCCCACUAACCCAAAUCAAUUGUAUUCCAAUAUCCCUUUGUUUUCCACAUCAAUACUAUAUAUAUACAUACAUGCUAAUGAGUCUCUCACACUAUUAUACUAUGCUCUCAAUUAUAUUUCUAUGGCAUCAAAGUCAAAAGGCAAUGAAGCUAUACACGCCUACCUAGCUUCCACAAAACAAACAUUUUAUACUCUUACAACUCCCUUUAUAAUUCAAAUGAUUAUCAAGCUUUGUUUUUAGUUUCAUUCUCCUUCAAUUCAAAUUGUUAGUUUCUCGACACAUAGUAGUCCAUUUUCAACCGUCGGAUCGUCGAAAUGAACUUUGAAGUGAGAUAUAUCCAGUGUACACUGUAGCUACGAAUUUAGGCCUAGAGUAUUGUGCUUGGAAGGAAAUCCGCCAAGGUACCAAAGGUGAAAUAUGAGGUGAUGUGUUGCUUGUACGUGCGCGGGACUAAACAAAUUUGGGUUUUAUAAAUUUGUAAUUUAAAUGAAAAAUUCUUUUAUUGUACAAAGAUUA